AGAGCAAGAGCCAGAGAGAGAAAAAAGAGUGACCACGCUCAAGCCAGAGAAUGGGGGGGGCCGACCGACACGUGUGCAGUUGGGCGAGCAAGAGUGGAAGAGAGAGAGAGAGUGAGUGAGAGCCAGAGAGCGGCUUGAGCUUGGCAGCAGCUGAGAGCGAAAUGAGCGUGAACUGAGAGUGAGACUGUGAGUUUGAGUUGCGGUGGACGGGUUUCGGGUUUUUUGAGUUUGAGUCGGCCCAGCCAGGCCACCAGGCACACUGUGUGAAACGUGAAAAUCAAGCGGCACAGUCGACGGCGACAAAAGCCAUUGCGAGCGCGUCUACGCGGCGCUCGAAAUAUUACAAAAAUAUACAAAAAAAAAGCCAAAACCAUUCAAAUACAACAAAAAAAUCAUAAAAUAGAAGGCAAACAAUCUAUAAAAACCGAGAGACAAUACGAAACGAGAUUCGAGAAAAACUAAUUUUCCAAAACAGAGAAAAUUCAAAUACAAAAAACAUUUUAUCCAAAACACACAUUUUUUUUCUCAUAUUUUGGUGUGUGAGUGCCCCCUGUGAGUGUAAAAAUUGGCGCUUCUUCUUCUUAUUAAUAUUGUGCGCGUUUUUUUUUGCAAUUUUUUUUUGAAUUUUUAAUUCUUUCAAUUAAAAAAUAAUACAAAAAAAAAGAAGAGCAAACAACUGCUUGGCAGCUGAUUUAAAAUUUUAACAAUAAUAAUAAUAAUAAUAGGAAGCACAAACAAACACCCACACAUACAAACACACCUGGACACACGUUGCAAGUUCAGCUGCUGUGACAAAAAAAUACAAAAAAUAAAGAAAAACAAAAGCAAACAAAAAGAAGAUCCCCAAAAAAAGGAGCCAAGACAACGGAAUUUUGCUUGAUAUGCACCGCAAGUUAAAGGCUAUCGAAGACCC